UACGUAGGGUGCGAGCGUUGUCCGGAAUUAUUGGGCGUAAAGAGCUCGUAGGCGGUGUGUCACGUCGGCCGUGAAAACCUGCAGCUUAACUGUGGGCGUGCGGUCGAUACGGGCAUCACUGGAGUUCGGCAGGGGAGACUGGAAUUCCUGGUGUAGCGGUGAAAUGCGCAGAUAUCAGGAGGAACACCGGUGGCGAAGGCGGGUCUCUGGGCCGAUACUGACGUGGAGGAGCGAAAGCGUGGGGGAGCGAACAGG
rnacentral:rRNA from 1 species